CCCUCUCUUGGGAGCAGCUGAUCUUCCAGGAUAGGGAGGAGCAUGUUCACCUGAGCAGAGGCCUGGAACCAGAAAGGGAUCAUCCAGGAGCCCCAGCCAGAGGAGAAGCUGGAAGAAGAGGAUCUGAGCAGCCUGGACAUCCUUGUAAGCAGAGAUGAACAGUCCUCCGCUUUCUGUCUUCUCCAUGAUUGGCUGGAGAAGUCACCACGCGUGAGAAUCCACUGCCCUCAUGUGAUGGAAAGCGAUCGUGAGCAUUGUUGAUGCCAUGCAAAAGCCGUCCAUCGUGGAGCUCAACAGUCACCACUGUCAGUGAGAUAAGUGUCUGAUUUGGUGAUUGGUCUGUUCAUGGCCCAUCUGGCUCUAUGUAGGGACACACCCUUAGCUGGGGCUGGGUUUGUAAGAAAAUGUUCUUGACUAGCUGUGGUUACGAGGGAGACAAGGUCC